GAUGAACGCUGACAGAAUGCUUAACACAUGCAAGUCAACUGCGGCGGACGGGCGCGUAACGCGUAAAGAACUUGCCUCACAGAUAGGGACAAAAUUUGGAAACGAAUGCUAAUACAUGAUACUGUGCGAGAGCUUGGCGUCCCAUUAGCGAUCUGGAGAGGUAACGGCUCACCAAGGCGAUGAUGGCUAGCCGGCAUGAGAGGGUGAUCGGCCACAAGGGGACAGAGACACUGCCCUUACUCUUACGGGAGGCAGCAGUGGGGAAUAUUGGACAAUGGACCAAAGUCUGAUCCAGCAAUUCGGAGUGCACGAUGAAGUUUUCGGGAUGUAAGGUACUUUCAGUAGGGAAGCGUUACCAACAGAAGAAGUGACGGCUAAAUACGUGCCAGCAGCCGCGGUAAUGC
rnacentral:rRNA from 1 species